CUGAGAGUCCGCAUGGGGGAGGGGUCACUUCCAUGGGGGGGCACACAGGGCUGUAAGGAACAUUCUAGAAUCACUGGAGCUGCAGGAAAGGCAGGGAGAGGGUGAAAUGGAACAAGAUGUUCAGGUGGUUGUUCUGGUACCACUGCAACUCCCUGGUGUGGACAGGGAGGGGACGUGACUGAUACUGAACCCUGUGUCUCCACCAUCCAGUGCCCACCACACUACUUCCCAGAGGACCAGCAAUCCCUCAGAGCUGCAUGGUACCACCAGUCUCAAAGUCAAGAGCCACCAAGGAGACAAGUCGGAGGACACAGUCGGAGGAGGAGGAAGGGGGAAAUUGACUCCAAAUUUUCCUGAGGGUCUUGAAGAUACAAUACGUCUGCACAUUAAGCCCAUGCUUUUC